GACGAACGCUGGCGGCGUGCUUAACACAUGCAAGUCGAGCGGAGCGGCGGACGGGUGAGUAACGCUAGAGUAACUGCACCCCUCCCUGGUAUUACAGUUGGACACGGAUGCUAAUACCGGAUAGUGGGGGAGGACGCGCGGCCUAUCGGCUUGUGGGUGGGGUAGUGGCGUACCAAGCUGACGACGGGUAGCCGGCCUGCGAGGGCGACCGGCCAGAUAGGGCUGAGAUACGGCCGGAACUCCUACGGGAGGCAGCAGUGGAGAAUAUUGCACACUGGGGGAGACCCUGAUGCAGGAGGGCCGCGUGCGUGAUGACGGCCUUCGGGUUGGAAACCGCUUUCAGCCAUGACGCGGUAGUGGCAGAAGAAGCACCGGCUAACUACGUGCCAGCCGCCGCGGUAAUAC
rnacentral:rRNA from 1 species